rnacentral:pre_miRNA from 1 species
UAUUUNCUCCCUCCGUUGCACAAUACAUGCCUUCUAUUUGUCAAAAUAUAUAUGUAUCUAGACAUGUUUUAGUAUAUAGGCACAUCCAUUUUUGGACAAAUGGAAGUCAAGUAUUUUGGAACGGAGGGAGUACAUA